GAAAUGCGAUAAGUAAUGUGAAUUGCAGAAUUCAGUGAAUCAUCGAAUCUUUGAACGCACAUUGCGCCCGCCAGUAUUCUGGCGGGCAUGCCUGUUCGAGCGUCAUUUCAACCAUCAAGCCCCGCGCUUGUGUUGGGGACCUGCGGCUGCCGCAGGCCCUGAAAACCAGUGGCGGGCUCGCUGUCACACCGGGCGUAGUAGGUUUUAUCUCGCUCAGGGCGUGCUGCGGGUUCCGGCCGUUAAAAAGCCUUUUUUACCCAAGGUUGACCUCGGAUCAGGUAGGGAUACCCGCUGAACUUAAGC
rnacentral:misc_RNA from 1 species